CCCGUCAUCCCUGCGGGGACAGCCACCCGGGGGCCAGCGUGGCCAGGAGGGCGGGCGGUGGCACGAAGAGCCCAGCCCCGCAAACCCGAGGAUUCAGAGGCACCCCGACACGGCAGCCAGGGAGCUUGCAGGCCAGACUCCCCCCUCCUGCCGGGAACCCCCCAGUCCAUCCUGGCUUUUCCCACCCCCUGCGGGUGGCCCUUCUGCCCCCCCCCUCUGUCCCCACCCCAUUCUGGCCACAGAAGUGGCCCGAGGCCCCUGGGCACUGGCUGGGAGGAAGGCAGCUGUGCCCUGAGCCUACUGGCGGAGUCUGGAGGGAGAGGCCAAGCCCCUGGAAAAUGCAGUUCUGGAGGUCGCGGAAGUGUGUGUGCAGGCGGGGGGCUGCGAGAAUCCAGUGCGCCCCACCCCACUUGGCUGGUGAAAGCCCAGGAGGGAAGGCUGCUGGUCAGGGGCACGAGGCCAUUGGGCCCCUCCCACCCCCUCCCGGCUCCCCGACCCCCAACAAGGACUCCGGGGGACAGAAGGGCUCCAGAGCAAGCGUCUCAGCUGCCCCUGCAUCUCUAGAGCAAGGGACCAAGUGUGGAGCUGAAGGUGGGCAGUGGAGCCUCCCCAGGACCCUCCCAGUCCUCGCUGCCCCAGCCCAGAUCCUGGGCCUGGAUGCCCGCAGACAGCGACAUGACUGCCAGUCAUUUCUCCUGGGUUCUGUUGGGGUCAGCAUGUCAGCUUCCAGGGGUCCCGCCUUCUCAGUUUCUGUUCCUGGAGGAUUCGGGGGCAGGGGGCAUCUAGGGAUUGAAAGGGCGGGGCUGAAAUUGAGUGGGAACCACUCCACGCGGAGGACAGACGCGUGGGUGCAGCCUCCUGCAGAUGAAUGCACAUCCAGACACCUCCCAGCCCCGCCAAGGUCCCCCGCCAGGCCCCAGGCAGCAAAGCUGAGAGAGAGGAAGCAGCCUCACACCCUGCCCUCUCCGUGGAGGCCUGGGACCCCCGCAAUGACCUCAUCGUGGGUGAGGCCGCACCCUCUGCCUGCCAGCGCCCCACCUACUGGCCUGGGCUGCCUCUCGGGGUCCCUCCUGAGGCUCUGGGGCAUCUGAGGGGGCUCCUGAUGGGCUGGCCAGGCUGCCUCCAGGGGCCGUCGACCACCGUCCAGCCUGGAGCUCCAACCUCCCUCCUUCCCACCGCAAAAGGGCUAUAGGUCUCCCUGCCCUGCCCGGGUCCAGUUUACAAACAGCGUACAGUUGCCCAGGGCCUGGCCCCACUCCUCAGUGUGCCCUCUCCUCAAGACCCCGCUUCCCCAGUGGGCAUGGGGCCCACAUGCCAGGUAAGUAGCAAACCCCCUUCUGCCAAGAGCGGACUCUCAGAAAGGCCCUGUCACUGCCCGGCUUGCUCGGGGCCUUCUGGUCUCUCCCAGCCCAAGUUCUUUUGCCUUAGGCCUCUCGACAUCCUGAUCUCUUGCAAUAACAAGGAAGCGAGACUCCACAGUAGAUGUCCCUCUUGUGCGCCCCCCUCUCUUUCUCUGUUGAGAGCCUGUUUGGGAGUUUGCUCCCUGUCUCAGUAUCUAGGCUGUUAGAGCUGGGAAAGGACAGUAGUGAUGUAGCCCAGCCCCCUCCUCAGAGCUGGAGACCAGCCUGACCCCUGCGGCCCUGGCCUGGGCAGGGCUCAGCUCCUGCCCUUACCUGCCGUGGUCAGUGUCUAUUGGUCGGCUUGGCAUCGUUAGCCCCUUAGGAGAGGUGUCGGUCAUGAUGUUUACCUCAGUUUAUGUCACUGUCAAAGAAACAAAAAAAUAGCAAAAAAUUAACACUGUAGACAUGGAGAUUUAGAGACAAAAGAAAAGACUCCCCCUUGCAACUCCUCUGUGAAGGUACAGUGUGUACGUGUGUGUGCACACGUGUGUGUGUGUCUCUGUCCCACCCUGGGGCAGGCCAGGUCAUGCCUGACCUCUCCCUGUCCUGAGGUCCCCCACAGUUCCAUGUCCUUCGGUGCUUCCCAGAGGCCCCACUGAGCUGGCCUGUGGGGUGGAGGAGCCCCCUGGAUGGGAGGUGGGGCCAAAGGUGAUCAGCCAGUGGGCCUCCGCCAGGCCCUCAGCAGAGCCCGAGGCUGCCUGGUGCUCGCUGAGCCAGGCGGUCCUGGUAGCUGGCAUCACUGCUCAUGACUGGCUCAGGGCCUGGGGCAGGUCCUGGGUGCAGCCCCAGUCCCCAGACUUUCAUGUCUCACCUCCCACCCACACCUCAUGUGUUUGUAAAUACUCUGGCAUCCUUUGGCCCUGAGAAGGUUUUUAAAUGUGUUAUUUACUUCUCUCACCAUGACAAUUGCUAUAAAAUAAAAGUUUGG
ensembl:lncRNA